rnacentral:rRNA from 1 species
GACGUAGGGGGCAAGCGUUGUCCGGAUUUAUUGGGCGUAAAGAGCGUGUAGGCGGCCAGGUAGGUCUGGUGUGAAAACUCGAGGCUCAACCUCGAGAGGUCAUCGGAAACCAUCUGGCUAGAGUCCGGAAGAGGAGAGUGGAAUUCCCGGUGUAGCGGUGAAAUGCGCAGAUAUCGGGAAGAACACCUAUGGCGAAGGCAGCUCUCUGGGACGGUACUGACGCUGAGACGCGAAAGCGUGGGGAGCGAACAGG